rnacentral:rRNA from 1 species
UACACACCGCCCGUCAAGCCACGAAAGCGGGGAGUGCUCGAAGUCGCUUUGCUCAACCUUCGGGAGGGCGGCGCCGAAAGCAAGCUCCGUGAUUGGGACU